UACGAAGGGUGCAAACGUUGCUCGGAAUUACUGGGCGUAAAGGGCGCGUAGGCGGGAUGGCAAGUCGGUCGUGAAAUCCCUCGGCUCAACCGAGGAACGUCGAUCGAUACUGCUGUUCUUGAGGAUUGCAGAGGAGACUGGAAUUCCCGGUGUAGCGGUGAAAUGUGUAGAGAUCGGGGAGGAACACCGGUGGCGAAGGCGGGUCUCUGGGCCAUUACUGACGCUGAGGAGCGAAAGCGUGGGGAGCGAACAGG
rnacentral:rRNA from 1 species